AUUCUAUAGGGUUUAUGCAGACCAAUCCAGAGGGUGCCCAGCCCUUUCUGACGUGAACCCCCUGGGGGUUUAAAUGCUUGUGCUACACCAAAAUUUUUCCUCUUUCUCUCCGCAAAGACCCCCCAAAGAAUCAACAGGAGCCAUCCAUGUAUAUCUAUGGCACAGGAACAGCUUGCUUAUGCAACUAAACAUAGAACUAUGGAUACAUCAGACUAUGAUUCAGCAGAUGACUUUAUACUUACACAGCGGUCUAAUUCACCCAUGUAUGAACCCUUAACUCCCCCUUCCGAAUCA